CCCCCCAGGCCCAUCUACGUUGAUUUCGCUGUAUUCAUUUUGGUCAAGCUGGAAAGAAUCCAUGCAAUAAACAUUGCAUUUUCCUCUUCACAGCUCAAUCACUACAAACACAACAUGGUGCCAUUUCCAAUCUUUCUAUACUCCCCGUCGUUCGUUGCUCUCAUCAUCGUCAUUCAACGACGCUGUUGUUCCCAUCCGCCACCACCAACACAGGCAUACCGGUUUGUGAAUAACAAUAGCACUGAAGAGUCCUUUCCAGGCUGGGGACAGCAGUGAUGAUGAUGAUGAUGAUGAUGAUGAUGAUGAUGAUGCAGCUGGCGCAUUAUUUGUCCCGCACAUGAGGCUGAAGAAGGCUAAUUGUCUGGAAAUGAAGCCAGAUCGUGAAUAACAAUGGAAAGAGCAGGUUGCAAGAGCCUUUGAACGUAAAACAGUUCCAUGGAGGAAAAGAACGACUA
rnacentral:sRNA from 1 species